GACGAACGCUGGCGGCGUGCUUAACACAUGCAAGUCGAACGGGAUUUAGUAGACAGAAGCCUCGGCUAAAGAUUACUAAUGAGAGUGGCGAACGGGUGAGUAACGCGUGAGCAACCUGCCUAUGACAGUGGGAUAGCCUCGGGAAACCGGGAUUAAUACCGCAUAAAAUCGUAGAAACACAUGUUUCAACGGUCAAAGAUUUAUCGGUCAUAGAUGGGCUCGCGUCUGAUUAGCUAGUUGGUGAGAUAACAGCCCACCAAGGCGACGAUCAGUAGCCGGUCUGAGAGGAUGAACGGCCACAUUGGAACUGAGACACGGUCCAAACUCCUGCGGGAGGCAGCAGUGGGGAAUAUUGCACAAUGGGGGAAACCCUGAUGCAGCGACGCCGCGUGAACGAAGAAGGUAUUCGUAUCGUAAAGUUCUGUCCUAUGGGAAGAUAAUGACAGUACCAGAGAAGAAAGCUCCGGCUAAAUACGUG
rnacentral:rRNA from 1 species